rnacentral:lncRNA from 1 species
UUCCCACCGCUGCUGUUACUGGUGGCGCUCGUGUCGCUUUUCGUAAAUCCCGCGCAGUUGCGACUCUUAAAUCCCGACCCGUUACUGACAUCUGUUCAACAACGAUGGCCACUUCGACCUUUUUCCCUCUCCGACAUUACGCGUGCCCUCGCACCAGCGGCACUCAGACGCAGAAUACAUGGUGGAUUUGCACCGAACACCAGAGAAUUAGAAGCUGACCGGAAAAACUUACUGGGCACUGAUGAGUACGAAGACUUCGAUGAUGAUCCGAUCUACAGGUUUCACGACGCAGACAAACGACAGCAUCCCGACUACGGUCACCUAAGGUUCGGCAAGCGGGCGGAGUUCGGCGACUACGGCCACCUGAGGUUCGGCCGACGCAGCCACUCGAGCCCCGACACGAACGCCGGCACCGCGGCGGGAGUGACAAGUGACGGCGACGGUCAAUAACGGUUUACAGCAGCCGUUGUGACUAACCUGGCUAAUUAAUGUACCGUAAAGUCGUGCUUAACGUGGAAU